rnacentral:rRNA from 1 species
AGUGAACGCUGGCGGUAGGCCUAACACAUGCAAGUCGAACGGCAGCACAGUAAGAGCUUGCUCUUACGGGUGGCGAGUGGCGGACGGGUGAGGAAUACAUCGGAAUCUACUUUUUCGUGGGGGAUAACGUAGGGAAACUUACGCUAAUACCGCAUACGACCUACGGGUGAAAGCAGGGGAUCUUCGGACCUUGCGCGAUUGAAUGAGCCGAUGUCGGAUUAGCUAGUUGGCGGGGUAAAGGCCCACCAAGGCGACGAUCCGUAGCUGGUCUGAGAGGAUGAUCGGCCACACUGGAGCUGAGACACGGUCCAGACUCCUACGGGAGGCAGCAGUGGGGAAUGUUGGACAAUGGGGGCAAGCCUGAUCCAGCCAUACCGCGUGGGUGAAGAAGGCCUUCGGGUUGUAAAGCCCUUUUGUUGGGAAAGAAAAGCAGCAGGUUAAUACCCCGCUGUUCUGACGGUACCCAAAGAAUAAGCACCGGCUAACUUCGUG